UACGUAGGUGGCAAGCGUUGUCCGGAUUUAUUGGGCGUAAAGCGCUCGCAGGUGGUUCGUCGCGUCGUGCGUGAAAGCCCCCGGCUCAACUGGGGAGGGUCACUCGAUACUGAUCGACUUGAAGGCAGGAGAGGGAAGCGGAAUUCCCGGUGUAGUGGUGAAAUGCGUAGAUAUCGGGAGGAACACCAGUGGCGAAGGCGGCUUCCUGGCCUGUUCUUGACGCUGAGGCGCGAAAGCUAGGGGAGCAAACGGG
rnacentral:rRNA from 1 species